UCCAACACUCCUGAGCUGGGCACUCUGAGCUGCCUGGGAGAUAAAAACCUUCAGUUCCUGCAGCUCUCCUGGGAUAAAAAGCAGCCAAAUGCUCUCAGGCACUUGUGCCACAGGUUCCUGGUGUUUCCAUCCCUGAUAAAAGCUCUCCUCCCCCUGCUUUGCAAACAGCUCUGAGCCUUUUAUUGUUCUGCAGAACCAGAACCGUGCCAUAAAGCCUGGGGAGGCUGGGGAUCAAUUUCCUCCUAUUGAUUUUGGAAGAAAAGAAUUGUUCCUUUCAUAUUUUGGGUUGAUUUACAGCCCAGAAGAAAUGGGAUGCCCAUGACUCAGCCCCAUUCUUCAGCAAGAAUCCCCAUUAGAUAAUUCAUCCCACUAAGAAUUACAGCUGCUGAAGCUUAAUUAGGAUUAAUUUAUGCCCUCCCUUCGAGUGGAUUAAAUUGAAUAUUUGCAAGUGUUUUAAUCCUUUUGAGAUAAAACAACUGGGAAGUGUCUGGAGUGUGGAUCUGUGGUGAAUUAGGGGGAAAUAAGUCUGUUUUUAUUGAGGGGAUGUUGCUAAUGACAGGCAAAGAUUACUGUCAAGUAAAAGAUUAACAUUGCAUAUCCUAUGGAGGGAGAUGGAAAAAUUCCUGGAAAAAAGUCAACAGCAGCACUUUUAAAAGGGAAAAUCAGGAUCAUUACAGCGAGUCUGCAGACAAACUUGGAUGAGUUUUAUGUGGCAAACAUUUCUUGUGUGAAUAUCUGCAAGAAGAAUAUCAGAAUAUCAACAGUUCUCCUCCUCCUGCCUCUGCUGUUCAAAAUGCUGCUAAAAUUGCUCAGAUUUUGGAGAAGAGAGCUGCUAUAAAAGUGUGUUUGCUGCCUGUAUUUCAGAUUUGCAGUUGGUGUUUCUCCCUAAUUUAGGACCAGCUUUGUUUCAGGUUUUUUGACUUGAAGAAGAAUUAUUCUCUGCUUUGGGAGAGAAGUUGCUCUGUCAGGAGGAUCCAACACAGCUUGGGAAAAGAGAAUACUGCAGAAGUUUAUCCUGAAUUUUGGGAGGUUCCAGGUGUUACCUGAAGUACUUUUUUCCUGGGAAAUUAUUGCUUGAUAUCCCGGAGGAGACUAAAAAACUGAUUUACCUUCCUUAUCCAUUUUUUUCACAUUUCCAAAUAUCCUGAUAUUAAUACACAUAUUAAUACAUAUAUUAAUAUAUGUGCUGAUCUGCCUGGAAUUCCUGGCAAGGUUUUGCUUCUGCCAGGAACUAAGCCUGAAGUCACCAAUUUUAUGUGUUCAAAGCCCUUCUGGUUAUGAGUUAAAUCAUGUAAAUUUCAGAAAUUUCAUGGAUGUCAUUCACAUUUGGAACUGCAGUGUUCAACAGCAGAACUUUUGUAAAAUAAUUUGGAUUAUUUAUCAUAAUGUGGUGAAUAACGUGGUGUCUGAUGGGGGAAGGAAGCAGGAUAGGGACUCCUCAUCAGGAAUUGUGUUGGUAGGACAAGGGGAAAUGGUUUAAAACUGGCAAAGAGUAGGUUUGGAUGGGAUAUUGGCAAGAAAUUCUUCCAUGCUGAGGUUGGAUCAAGAGACCUCCUUCAGGUAGAAAAGAUCAUGCAUAAAUCAGCUCAUUUUUGCCACAGACUUCUGAUUCUUGAGGUAAUGAAUCCCUGCCCAAGGCACCAAAUCACAAAAUAACACAGGUAAAAGGUUCUCAGGUUCUCCAAAAGGGGCUCUGCCUGCUGCUUCAUGCAGCUGCAGUAUUUAAAAGAUUAAAAUUGAAUUAGAGCUUUGUAAACUAAAUUGACACAAACACCAAGGUGUGGCACAAUUCUACAGCAUCUGGAAAGGACCUGCCACAUUUUCCA